UGGUAUCUGAACGACUGAAAUGUCAUUUCAUCCAUAGAUCGGAUACACUCUUCUAACUUGAUUUUGCCUGGUUUAUCACAGCUGCUUAACAGCCUUGAAUGGGACAUUCAGGGAGUGACUUGGCUAAUGGACCGCUGCAUGCUAUCUAUUUAUUCCAUGUGGAGGCAUUUGUAAACUACAUGUCUGCUAUCUAUUGCCCCUAUCGUGCCUGUAUCUGCGCCACCACUCCAGAGUAUGCGGGUGUAUAUAUUUGGAUUCUGUUGUAGAACUUCCAGGAGCUGCUAGAAUUGGUGCCGAAGUCGAUGGCCAAAAUCAUACAUAGAAGCGUAUCGUAUGGUGUGGAUAGGAGUUUGGUCCAAUUUCUUCCCGAAGAUUGAAGAAUCUAUGUUGCAGCAAGAAGUACCAAAGAGGUAAUAUAAUUGUAAUGACAUAUGAACUACCUGGGACUUAAAUAUGUUUCAUCACUUAGGUUAAAUGUCGGCAGAUGUAAACUCUUUGUCAUAUCAAAAUGUUAAUUUUACGAGUAGGUGAUUCAAAAGCAUAUUUGUGUCCAAAUGCACAAGUUUACCAACACAGCAAUUUAAAGUGUUCUUUCCAGCAUUUGUCAUGCGCUUUUUAGAGAUAUGACGUCAGAU